AGAGCCAGCACAACUAAGCCCUGGUCUACACUAGGAGUUGGUGUCGAAUUUAGCAACGUUAAAUCGAUUUAAGCCUGCACUCGUCCACACGAUGAAGCCCUUUUUUUCGACUUAAAGGGCUCUUAAAAUUGAUUUCCUUACUCCACCCCC